rnacentral:rRNA from 1 species
CUGCCCGUAGCAGGGGGAUAAGCGGAAGAAAUUCCGUCUAAUACCGCGUAAUAACUCCGAGAGGCAUCUCCUGGGGUUUAAAGGGUAACACCGGCUACGGAUGGCCAUGCGGCGCAUUAGCUAGUUGGCGGGGUAACGGCCCACCAAGGCGACGAUGCGUAGGGGUUCUGAGAGGAAGGUCCCCCACACUGGUACUGAGACACGGACCAGACUCCUACGGGAGGCAGCAGUGAGGAAUAUUGGUCAAUGGGCGCGAGCCUGAACCAGCCAAGUCGCGUGAGGGAAGACGGUCCUAUGGAUUGUAAACCUCUUUUGUCGGGGAGCAAAAGACGCCACGCGUGGCGUUCCGAGAGUACCCGAAGAAAAAGCAUCGGCUAACUCCGUGCCAGCAGCCGCGGUAAUACGGAGGAUGCGAGCGUUAUCCGGAUUUAUUGGGUUUAAAGGGUGCGCAGGCGGAAGAUCAAGUCAGCGGUAAAAUUGAGAGGCUCAACCUCUUCGAGCCGUUGAAACUGGUUUUCUUGAGUGAGCGAGAAGUAUGCGGAAUGCGUGGUGUAGCGGUGAAAUGCAUAGAUAUCACGCAGAACUCCGAUUGCGAAGGCAGCAUACCGGCGCUCAACUGACGCUCAUGCACGAAAGUGUGGGUAUCGAACAGGAUUAGAUACCCUGGUAGUCCACACAGUAAACGAUGA